rfam:Echinostoma caproni strain Egypt genome assembly, scaffold: ECPE_contig0017568
GGCCUCGUAGCUCAGCUGGCAGAGCGUGCGCGUACAAAGCGCAGGCGGCGUUCAUGUGUGGGUUCGAAUCCCACCGAGGCUA